GACGAACGCUGGCGGCGUGCUUAACACAUGCAAGUCGAACGGAAAGGGCUCUCUCGCGGGUUACUCCAGUGGCGAACGGGUGAGUAACACGUGAGUAACCUGCCCUUGACUUUGGGAUACGUUCAGGAAAGUGCGGCUAAUACCGGAUAGGAGCUCCUGCUGCAUGGUGGGGGCUGGAGAGUUUCGGCGGUUGGGUAUGGCCUGGCGGCGUAUCAGCUUGUGGGGGGGGCAGUGGUUUACCAAGGCCUUGCCGGGUAUACGGACUGAGAGGGUGACAGGCGGUAUUGGGACUGAGAUGCGGCACAGACUCGUAAGGGUGGAAGAAGUGGGGAAUACUGAACAAUGCGUGGAGGCCUUAUGCAGCAAGGCUGCGUACGGGAUGACGGUCUUAGGGUUGUGGACCGGUAGCGAUUAAGAAGAAGGCUUGUGUGACGGUAGUAAGUAAAGAAGCACCGGCUAACUACGUG
rnacentral:rRNA from 1 species